GAUGAAGAACGUAGCGAAAUGCGAUAAGUAAUGUGAAUUGCAGAAUUCAGUGAAUCAUCGAAUCUUUGAACGCACCUUGCGCCCUUUGGCCAUUCCGAAGGGCAUGCCUGUUUGAGUAUCAUGAACACCUCAACUCUUUAUGGUUUUCCAUGAUGAGCUUGGACUCUGGGGGUUUUGCUGGCUCACAGUCGGCUCCUCUAAAAUAAAUCAGCUUACCAGUGUUUGGUGGGUAUCAUGGGUGUGAUAACUAUCUACGCUUGUGGUUUUUCCACCAGGUAACCUUCAGCAGUGGAGGUUCGCUGGAGCUCAUAGAUGUCUCUCCUCAGUGAGGACAGCCCUUUGAAUGUUUGAUCUCAAAUCAGGUAGGACUACCCGCUGAACUUAAGCAUAUCAAUAAGCGGAGGA
rnacentral:misc_RNA from 1 species